AUCUAUCGUACCUAGAAAAUUUGAUAAGGACAGGAAGUUCACAACAGAGAGAAUGGGCAGACAGCUUUCAGCUUUGGGGCUGGAUCCCUCUCUGGCAAUUAAUCGUGCCCGGGGCAGGUCACUCUCUAGGAGGGGCCGCAAAAGAGAGAGGUCGCUUGACAGAGGAGAUAAUGAUGCUGGUGAUGCUAUGGAUAUGGAUGUUGACCAACAAAAUAAGAAGCUGCGAAU
rnacentral:misc_RNA from 1 species